UAUUUUGCUUUAGGUCACUCAGGUUGGCAGCUGGUAUACAGGAAGUCAAAGUUGAAAUGGUUUGCCUGGACUUUUUACAUGGAAAAUGCAAACGGAAAUCUUGUCGAUACUCUCAUGUUUUAGCUCAUGGAAUGCCUCAGCUCUGCUGUGAGUGAUUACAUAUCAGCUGUGAAGAAAUUAGCUUGUGGAGUUCUUGAAUCUUUAACUGAAGGGCUGAAGGUUGAACCAAGUUUAACUGGUUUUGGAGAACACACUGACCCUCAGAUAAUAUCAGUUCUGAGAUCAAACAAUACAUCAGGCCUUCAAAUCUCUUUCAGUGAUGGGAGCUGGGUUUCAGUCCCACCUGACCACAACUCCUUUGUCAUUGUUGGUGAUUCCUUGCAAAAUGGGCUUAAUAUGGUAGACCCAAUUGAGAAUGGGAGAGCAGCAGUAUUGCAAAAGUUGUGGUGAAAUACAGUUGCAUCUCUGGAAGGAGGCUAGGUUGCUUGGAGUUGUUUGAAUCAUGGGAUGAGGCAUCAACCUUCACGUUGCUAACCAUGUAAUCAUUGUUGAUGGUUCGUGGAACCCUACUUAUGAUCUUCAGGCUCAGGUUUGGAGGUAUGGGCAAACAAAGCCAGUUUAUGCAUAUUGUUUGAUGGCACAUGGAAAUAUGGAAGAAAAAAUAUAUAAACGGCAGGUGACAAAAGAGGGACUUGCUGCAAAGCGUGGUUGAUAGGCAACAAAUACAUCGGACCAUUUUUAAGUAAGGAGGUCCUGCAUCUCUUGGAUUUGUAUUUUAAUUGAUGGGACAUAAUUAUGAUGAUCAUUUGUUAAGUUUUCAGGGAAAAUGAUAUUCUUUAUAUUACCUUAUUUCAUCAGUAGCUGACCUAAUUUUGGCUAUUUACUAUAUAUUUAGAUCAGUUUCUAUUUCAGGCCUUUUGAGCAUCCAAACACAUUGAUAUUUAGUCCAGUUUCAUAUUCA